rfam:Gossypium raimondii Chr07_contig_131, whole genome shotgun sequence.
AAUGACAAAUCAGAUUUUUCUUCUUAAUUUUCAGCUUUUUCCUCUUGAAAAAAUUUAGAUCCAACUAAAAAUGCUAAAAAUAAGGAGGAAAAAUCUGAUUUGUCAGAAAGUAGUU